ACCCUUGGGGGUGUUCUGUGCAGGGCCAGGAGUUGGAUUUGGUGACCCCUGUGCAUCCCGUACAGCUGUGGUUCUGUGAACAGGGAGCAGUAUGGCUCGGCCCCCUGACUUCCCCUCGCCCUUGUUUUUUGGUGAAAGUUGGGCAGUCGGGGAAGGUAGAAGAGGACGCUGCCCCAGGUUCCCUUAACACCACCAGAAAGAUGCUUUGGGUACAGAGAGCAACAGUGCAUUUCGUCUUGUCCUUGUAGUUGUAAGUCCCUUGUGUGUGCUUUUUAUAGAUCAACUCUCUCCAGUUUUCUUCCUUCUCUCUUAUCCCUCCCCAGCAGCCACAAACAUCAUCUACCUCCAGACUCAACUCUGUGAUGGCCUCCAACCUAGAGAGACACCUGACGCCAGCACAGAAGCAGCUGAGGGCAGAGACCUUACAGCCCCAUCCAGAGAACCCACACCUUUACUCCAGGUUUCAAGCCAAGAGGAGCUACUAUAGGAAAACACAGCAAAAAAUCCUUCAUCCUGCUAUGCAAAAGAAGCCUCAGCUUACACCAGUUCAUUAUCAGAUUCUCUGCACUUGAAGGAAGCAAAAUCCAUGAACUCCAGUCAGCUCUAGAAUGAAAUCAGAUUGAAGAAAUAAACAGUAGCAUGGGAAUUUGCUGAGAAAAUAACAAUAAAAAUUUCUGCUCCAAUGAGAGAGAUUAACAAGCUGAAGUAUGUAAGAAGUGCCAUUCAUCCACCUCCUCCUCACCCAAGUGGGUCCUGCUUUUCUACAAAGUGAUACGCAGAGACUAUUUAUGAAGAUCAGAUGAAGGUCAUCUUAUGUGAUCUACUGCCCAUGAGUCUGGAUACAGUUCAGCCCUUUAUAUCACAAAUGAGGUGUGAAAAUUAUGUAUGAAGCAGCAUAUUUCCAGAAUUAUUCUGGAUCUAUUUCUAGAAUUGGCAAAAUUCUAUUUCAAGUUAUCUUGUAAAAUUAACAUUUAAGCUUAGCAAGUUGGUCAAAGAAUAAAUAAGAUUACAAAUUUUUGGUACAAAGGACUUCUUUUAAAAAACAAAGCUGUUAACUUGCAAGUUGUCAUUAAUUUUAACUUCCUCCUUAAAAGAGCAAGUAAAAAAAACCCAACAAAAUGACAGGUUUCAGUAACACAGAUGCAUAAAAAUUUAAAAACAGCACAGUAAUAUUUUUCAUAUCAUCUCAGAGACAGUGAUUAUUCCCACCUAUAAAACUCUGCCUCUUUCAGGACUCCCCCAACAUCAACCCCUCAACCAGUCUCCUCCCUCUGCAGUGACAAGUUAUCAGAAGUGAACUGCAAUGUUUUUUCUUUCAGCUGCAUGCAUUAAGUAAUGCUGAUGAGUUGCAAUAACAUACAAAUUCCAGCCAAAUACUGGAACUUGCUAUUGAAAUGUCAGAAAAAGAAUCUCUGGAUAUUCCUGACAAUUUCUUCAUAUUAAAAGAUACACACUUGAUAUUACACUCAUUUCUAUAUAACCAGCCAAAGUGAAGUGUUUCCCAAUGUC